AAUUCUGUCACCUUGUUGGGAGCUAUUAAGACAACACUAUUGUCCUGAUCUCUAAAUUGGGCCUCUCCCCCCCCCCCACCGAGAAGAAAAGGGGUCAAAAGCGGGCCACUGACACAUGGAUUCCGAGAACAACCACGAGAUGUUCCAGCCCUAAGUCAUCUCUGAUGUCCUGACCACACCCUGAUACCACCAAGUUCCUGCUUCCCCGUGUAACUGCCUAAGAAUGUGCAAUUCUAUUGCCCCCCACUCCCACUGAUAAGUACUUCUCCUUUUGCUUGUAUUGCCCUACCCCUCCCACUGAUAAGUAUCUGUACUUCCUCUUUUGCUUGUGCAUUUAAACCUCGGGCCUAAUACAUUUGCGGCCUUGAUGCAUUCC
rnacentral:lncRNA from 1 species